rnacentral:rRNA from 1 species
GAUGAACGCUAGCUACAGGCUUAACACAUGCAAGUCGAGGGGAAACGAUAGAGAAAGCUUGCUUUUUCUAGGCGUCGACCGGCGCACGGGUGAGUAACGCGUAUCCAACCUGCCCAUCACUUGGGGAUAACCUUGCGAAAGUAAGACUAAUACCCAAUGAUAUCUCUAGAAGACAUCUGAAGGAGAUUAAAGAUUUGUCGGUGAUGGAUGGGGAUGCGUCUGAUUAGCUUGUUGGCGGGGUAACGGCCCACCAAGGCGACGAUCAGUAGGGGUUCUGAGAGGAAGGUCCCCCACAUUGGAACUGAGACACGGUCCAAACUCCUACGGGAGGCAGCAGUGAGGAAUAUUGGUCAAUGGGCGAGAGCCUGAACCAGCCAAGUAGCGUGCAGGAUGACGGCCCUAUGGGUUGUAAACUGCUUUUAUAAGGGAAUAAAGUGAGUCUCGUGAGACUUUUUGCAUGUACCUUAUGAAUAAGGACCGGCUAAUUCCGUGCCAGCAGCCGCGGUAAUACGGAAGGUCCGGGCGUUAUCCGGAUUUAUUGGAUUUAAAGGGAGCGUAGGCCGGAGAUUAAGCGUGUUGUGAAAUGUAGAUGCUCAACAUCUGCACUGCAGCGCGAACUGGUUUCCUUGAGUACGCACAAAGUGGGCGGAAUUCGUGGUGUAGCGGUGAAAUGCUUAGAUAUCACGAAGAACUCCGAUUGCGAAGGCAGCUCACUGGAGCGCAACUGACGCUGAAGCUCGAAAGUGCGGGUAUCGAACAGGAUUAGAUACCCUGGUAGUCCGCACGGUAAACGAUGGAUGCCCGCUGUUGGUCUGAAUAGGUCAGCGGCCAAGCGAAAGCAUUAAGCAUCCCACCUGGGGAGUACGCCGGCAACGGUGAAACUCAAAGGAAUUGACGGAAG